ACUUGGAGAAGUGGCAAGUUUUAUAAUUAAUAGUAAUUAAUAUUUCUAUUUUUAUAAAAUUCUAUUAGAAUUGAAUGAAGCUUUGUUUAUAUAUUGAUAAUGACAGUAUAUAUAUCGUGUCUUGACUAAUUGCGUGCCAGCAGUCGCGGUAAUACGUAAGAGACUAGUGUUAUUCAUCUUAAUUAGGUUUAAAGGGUACCCAGACGGUCAAUAUAUCUUCUAUAAUGUUAGUACUUGACUAGAGUUUUAUGUAAGAGGGCAGUACUUGAGGAGGAGAGAUGAAAUUUCGUGAUACCAAAGGGACUCUGUAAAGGCGAAGGCAGCCCUCUAUGUAGAAACUGACGUUGAAGGACGAAGGCACAGAGAACAAACAGGAUUAGAUACCCAAGUAGUCUUUGCAGUAAAUGAUGAAUGCCAUAGGUCAGAUCUAAAUUUAAUGUUUAUAGAUUAUGUGAAGGCCUUAAUUGGCAACUUUGCAAAAAUUAUAAAUAUUAAAAAUUAUUUGGUCUAUAAAUGAAAGUGUAAGCAUUUCACCUCAAGAGUAAUGUGGCAACGCAGGAACUGAAAUCACUAGACCGUUUCUGACACC
rnacentral:rRNA from 1 species